AACGAACGCUGGCGGCAGGCUUAACACAUGCAAGUCGAACGCUGUAGCAAUACAGAGUGGCAGACGGGUGAGUAACGCGUGGGAACGUGCCUUUCGGUUCGGAAUAACUCAGGGAAACUUGAGCUAAUACCGGAUACGCCCUUUGGGGGAAAGAUUUAUUGCCGAAAGAUCGGCCCGCGUCCGAUUAGCUAGUUGGUGUGGUAAUGGCGCACCAAGGCGACGAUCGGUAGCUGGUCUGAGAGGAUGAUCAGCCACACUGGGACUGAGACACGGCCCAGACUCCUACGGGAGGCAGCAGUGGGGAAUAUUGGACAAUGGGCGCAAGCCUGAUCCAGCCAUGCCGCGUGAGUGAUGAAGGCCAUAGGGUUGUAAAGCUCUUUCGCCAGGGACGAUAAUGACGGUACCUACAGAAGAAGCCCCGGCUAACUUCGUGCCAGCCGCCGCGGUAAAAC
rnacentral:rRNA from 1 species